rnacentral:rRNA from 1 species
UACGUAGGGGGCAAGCGUUGUCCGGAUUUAUUGGGCGUAAAGAGCGUGUAGGCGGUUCGGUAGGUCCGUUGUGAAAACUCGAGGCUCAACCUCGAGACGCCGAUGGAAACCCCCGAACUAGAGUCCGGAAGAGGAGAAUGGAAUUCCUGGUGUAGCGGUGAAAUGCGCAGAUAUCGGGAAGAACACCCGUGGCGAAGGCGGCACUCUGGGACGGUACUGACGCUGAGACGCGAAAGCGUGGGGAGCGAACAGG